rnacentral:rRNA from 1 species
AAUUUCCUACGGGACGCAGCAGUGGGGAAUAUUGGGCAAUGGACGCAAGUCUGACCCAGCAACGCCGCGUGAAGGAAGAAGGCUUUCGGGUUGUAAACUUCUUUUAAGGGGGAAGAGAAGAAGACGGUACCACUUGAAUAAGCCACGGCUAACUACGUGCCAGCAGCCGCGGUAAUACGUAGGUGGCAAGCGUUGUCCGGAUUUACUGGGUGUAAAGGGCGUGCAGCCGGAGAGACAAGUCAGAUGUGACAUCCACGGGCUCAACCCGGGAUCUGAAUUUGAAACUGUUGGUCUUG